AACCUCAGGUGAUCUGCCCACCUCAGCCUCCCAAAGUGCUGGGGUUACAGGCGUGAGCCACUGCCCCUGGCCUUAUAGUUUAUCUUCUAGUGGUCUUCGGUCCUCAUUUGAAAAUGUGAAAAGUGGGUACCUGAGAUAAUUCACCAUUUUGAAGAUUCAUUGUUUCUUGGAACCGAAAUCGAUCUCAGAAGUAUACCCCUGCACUACUGAGAAACUUAACCAAGGACAAAUACAAUCCCUUCACUCCACAGACAGCUGACAUGAUGGGCUGUGACCUGAAGGUUAUUGAACAGUUGGAGUGUUCUGCAUUCAUGUGGAAGAGGCUAAAGGAUGUUUGAUGAAGCACUAUGGGCUGCCCUGGAAGAGGACUGAAGAAGCAGCUGCAGAACAAAGCCUUCCCGCUUCCUGAAAGAAAACUCCAUUGUGCUGCCUUUUCAAGCUGCUGUGAAUGCUUUGAAUUCAAACUAACUAUUGAGCCUAUGCUCAACCUGACCACACUGCCUAGGAGGGGGUAAGUAACCUGCCACCUGCCCUUUCCUGCAGAAUGCCUACAGAUGCUGUCCAUACUCAUGAAGCUGAUGUCAUAGGUAAAUCAAACUGUUUGGGACUGACUGUCCCAGGUAGUGCCUCUGAAACCAAGGACUGAACUGCCUUGGUGAGUUCAGUGAGAACCUAGAGUGAGAGGGCCCAUAGUAAAAGGCCGCAAAUUGUUGAUGGGAGACUUAUGCUUGUCCUAUGCGAUUCCACUGGAGAAGACUCUUGGAAUCUUGCAGACGUUAUUCCCCAUACUUUGCCCACAUGCCUUUUCCCUUUGCAGACUGUGUUUUGUAUCGUUUCAUUGUAAUAAAUCUUAGUUGUGAGUAUGCCUGUA